AUUUAUUUAGUAUAUAGUAUAUUUGACUUCCAAUCAAAAGGACUGAAUUUAUAUUCAGAAUAAAUA
rnacentral:tRNA from 1 species